rnacentral:rRNA from 1 species
GGAAGUAAAAGUCGUAACAAGGUCUCCGUUGGUGAACCAGCGGAGGGAUCAUUACUGAGUUACCGCUCUAUAACCCUUUGUGAACAUACCUACAACUGUUGCUUCGGCGGGUAGGCCGUCCCCUGAAAAGGACGCCUCCCGGCCCGGACCGGACCCCCCGCGGGACCGGACCCGGCGCCCGCCGGAGGAUAACCAAACUCUAUUGUAACGACGUUUCUUCUGAGUGGCAUAAGCAAAAUAAUCAAAACUUUUAACAACGGAUCUCUUGGUUCUGGCAUCGAUGAAGAACGCAGCGAAAUGCGAUAAGUAAUGUGAAUUGCAGAAUUCAGUGAAUCAUCGAAUCUUUGAACGCACAUUGCGCCCGCCAGCAUUCUGGCGGGCAUGCCUGUUCGAGCGUCAUUUCAACCCUCAAGCUCUGCUUGGUGUUGGGGCUCUACGGUCGACGUAGGCCCUCAAAGGUAGUGGCGGACCCUCCCGGAGCCUCCUUUGCGUAGUAACAUUUCGUCUCGCACUGGGAUCCGGAGGGACUCUUGCCGUAAACCCCCCAAUUUUCCAAAGGUUGACCUCGGAUCAGGUAGGAAUACCCGCUGAACUUAAGCAUAUCAAUACGG